ensembl:lncRNA
CGCAGGGCAACAUCAAGGAGAGAUGCUUUCGCAUCCGGGGGGUUAGCCGCGCCCUGGUUCAUGACGUACCGGAUGCAGAAAUAUUCUUGUUUUUUAGCAUUGUAGCAUCAUAAGAGAGAGGUCACAGCCCUCCUUCUCCAGCAAAAAAUAAUAACAUAAAACUGCUAAAAAAAAAACGCUUGAGGCGGCGUUUUGAAAAGAGAAAACUUAAUUUUUUUUAGUACAUGGCAUAAAGAUAAUUAUGAGCAUUUCAUUGAUAUCCAGUCAUUCUUUGUGGAGACACAUUCCUGUUCCCCACUUGUAUUGGAGUGAACGGAGAUGUCUACUUCUGGGCCCCUUGAAUCGAGGGACCCGUCCACAGAACGCUUAAACAGCUGCAUUACCAGGCUUGGCCCCUGAGCACUGGUGGAUUGCGGAAGUAUGCCCUGUUCCUGGGAGUAGGGUAAAAAAAAGCCUUGUAAAUCACGGUUCACACGAGAUCUUCCUUGAAGUCGGAUCUUCAGAUAUUCAUGUCGGCCAUGAGCAUGGAAGAGCCAGACCCCAAGGCUUUGAGAAUGGAGGAAGAAAACCAGUGAAAAGAACGGUAGCAUAAUUUACUAUAGAUGUUUCUUGUUUAUAAACAUUGCGCCUGGGCACGCCAAUCCGGGCAGAAAGUCAUCUACCAUUAUAGAAUGACUAUCAGAAAGCCCAGGUUAAAUGUAUUGUUUAUUAGUUGUGGUUAGCCUACUAAUCCCCCGUCUAACCAUGAAGGCUUGCAGACACACCCUCAACAUAUUCCCAAACAUACCUUUUGCAUAUUUGAGCCUUUGUCUAUCUAAUUAUUUGACUUUAAGAUGAAAGCUGCUUUCUAAGGUGCUAGCUAUGCUUACAUUACUUUACGACCUGUCACAUUUGAGAUGCACACGUUUGAGAUGCACACUGAACAGUCACAAAAUACUCUAUACUGUACAGGCUAGUAGAUGUUGCUUGCUUCUUUCUGCCCCGAGAUUGCACAGUGCAACAGUGAUGACGUACCUGAGAAAUCCAUGCAUUGAAGACCGGCAAAUAUAUAUAAAAUUAAGGCUUGUAACGUGAACGCUAUAAUAUGAAGGCUUUCUCAUAACUAUCCUGUUAGUGACAUUGUUCUUGUCUUGUUUCUAUCAGUAAUAUUUAUUUUAAUUCAUUGUUUUCUAUCUCAUGUAGGACCUUGAAAACAUGCAGCAAGCGAUCAAUAAAAAUAUGUAUUCAAUACAA